AAUAUUCUCAUGCUUGCACCCGUAGAUUCUCCAAAUUUUGAAAUAUUCGCACGAGCUUGGCGCUAUCUUUUCGAUGGCCCCGACUCCCGCUUCACCCAGGAAAUGAAACGAAAAAAACUCUCGAAGCCUGACGCACCUGACCCAUCUCACCUCACUCCUCGCUCACGAACCACACCACAAAGGAGGCGGCGACGGCUAUUCCGCAUCGGCCGGCGGCGCGGGUGAAGAACGCGAAGGAGGCAACCAGGACACAGACGGCAAACCGACGACCAGGGCGGACAGCAGCUCUCCCUUCGGUGAUUUUCCCCUCUGACGGGCAACAAGUAGAAGAAGCUAAUUCGUGCAGCUGUGUCAUAUUAGCUUCUCCCCAUGUCGGCCUUGGUUGUCCGGUCUGGGAAAAGCAAAAGUAGGACUGAAUGCAUAAGUUAUGGGCUGAUGGAUGAGACAGACAGGGUGAGAAGACAGUAUUUUGAGGACAAAAUAUGGAAGGAUGAUGCAACUUGUUUGAACAUGCUUAGGCUUGGAAGAGGACCUUUCUUCCGGUUCUGUCAACUUUUAAGGGACCGCAGGUUGCUUCAAGACACGAUUCAUAUGUCUGUUGAGCAGCAAGUUGGCACGUUCUUGCACACCGUCGGACACAAUGUUAGGGAUGAGCCAGCUGGUGACAAUUUUCGUAUAACCGGUGAAGUUGUUAGUCGUUAUUUCAAAAAAGUCAUCCAUGCCAUUGGAGAGCUACGCCAUGAGCUUAUUAGGGAGCCCUCAUUGGCGACCCCAACCAAAAUAGAAGGGAAUCACCAGUGGGAUCCAUAAUUUAAGGAUUGUGUUGGAGUUAUUGAUGGUACACAUGUACGAGCCUCUGUUCCAGAGGACAUGGAGCCUCGCUGUCGUGGUAGAAAGACCCAUGCCACUCAAAAUGUGAUGGCGGCUGUUGAUUUUGAUCUUCGGUUCACAUUUGUGUUGGCUGGUUGGGAGGGGUCAGCACAUGAUGCUCAAGUUUUACGUGAUGCUUUAGAACGUGAAAAUGGUCUACGUGUCCCACAAGGAAAAUUCUAUCUCGUUGGUGCUGGACAUGGAGCCAAACCAGGGUUCUUGCCUCCUUUUCGUGGUGUGAGGUGUCAUUUAAAUGAGCGGGGGGACAAUCUUGUUCAAGAUGAGAAGGAAUUAUUUAACCAUAGACAUUCUUCCCUUCGUACGACCGUAAAGCAUGCAUUUGGGUCACUCAAGGGGAGAUUCAAAAUCCUUGAUGAGGCCAAGCCAUUUUUCUGCUAUCCUACUCAAGUAGACAUUGUUAUAGCUUGUUGCAUUGUUCACAAUUGGGUUAUAAAUGAUGGGAUAGAUGAAUUUAUCAUACCUGAGGCUGAAUGUGUUGCUAAUAUUAACCAUGCUUCAACGACAAGUGCCCAAGCAAGUGAACAUACAAACAUGGUUACUUUGCGGCAGGGAAUUGCCAAUCAAAUGUGGGAAGACCGACAAAACUACUUGCAGCACAAUAGUAUGCAAUAGCUUCAUUUGAACCAUUGUAAUAUCGUGAUGUUGUAAUUUGAACCCUUGUACUUGCUGGAAUUUGUUUGUAAUGUCACAUUAUGUGCUGAAAUGAACACCAGUCCAAUCCCAAGGCACAUGACACCUA